UACCAGCACCCCGAGUGGUCGGGACGUUUAUUGGGCCUAAAGCAUCCGUAACCGGUUCUACAAGUCUUCCGUUAAAUCCAACUGCUUAACAGGUGGGCUGCGGAAGAUACUAUAGAGCUAGGAGGCGGGAGAGGCAAGCGGUACUCGAUGGGUAGGGGUAAAAUCCGUUGAUCCAUUGAAGACCACCAGUGGCGAAGGCGGCUUGCCAGAACGCGCUCGACGGUGAGGGAUGAAAGCUGGGGGAGCAAACCGG
rnacentral:rRNA from 1 species